rnacentral:rRNA from 1 species
AAACUGUUUUUCUUGAGUAGUGCAGAGGUAGGCGGAAUUCCCGGUGUAGCGGUGGAAUGCGUAGAUAUCGGGAGGAACACCAGUGGCGAAGGCGGCCUACUGGGCACCAACUGACGCUGAGGCUCGAAAGUGUGGGUAGCAAACAGGAUUAGAUACCCUGGUAGUCCACACCGUAAACGAUGAUUACUAGGUGUUGGAGGAUUGACCCCUUCAGUGCCGCAGUUAACACAAUAAGUAAUCCACCUGGGGAGUACGACCGCAAGGUUGAAACUCAAAGGAAUUGACGGGGGCCCGCACAAGCAGUGGAGUAUGUGGUUUAAUUCGACGCAACGCGAAGAACCUUACCAAGUCUUGACAUCCCUUGACAGACAUAGAAAUAUGUGAUCUCUUCGGAGCAAGGAGACAGGUGGUGCAUGGUUGUCGUCAGCUCGUGUCGUGAGAUGUUGGGUUAAGUCCCGCAACGAGCGCAACCCUUAUGGUCAGUUACUACGCAAGAGGACUCUGGCCAGACUGCCGUUGACAAAACGGAGGAAGGUGGGGAUGACGUCAAAUCAUCAUGCCCUUUAUGACUUGGGCUACACACGUACUACAAUGGCGUUAAACAAAGAGAAGCAAGACCGCGAGGUGGAGCAAAACUCAGAAACAACGUCCCAGUUCGGACUGCAGGCUGCAACUCGCCUGCACGAAGUCGGAAUUGCUAGUAAUCGUGGAUCAGCAUGCCACGGUGAAUACGUUCCCGGGCCUUGUACACACCGCCCGUCACACCAUGAGAGCCGGGGGGACCCGAAGUCGGUAGUCUAACCGCAAGGAGGACGCCGCCGAAGGUAAAACUGGUGAUUGGGGUGAAGUCGUAACAAGGUAGCCGUAGGAGAACCUGCGGCUG